CCUACGGGAGACAGCAGUGAGGAAUAUUGGUCAAUGGGCGCGAGCCUGAACCAGCCAAGUAGCGUGAAGGAUGACUGCACUACGGGUUGUAAACUUCUUUUAUAAAGGAAUAAAGUGAGGCACGUGUGCCUUUUUGUAUGUACUUUAUGAAUAAGGAUCGGCUAACUCAGGGCCAGCAGCCGCGGUAAUACGGAGGAUCCGAACGUUAUCCGGAUUUAUUGGGUUUAAAGGGAGCGUAGAUGGGUUGUUAAGUCAGUUGUGAAAGUUUGCGGCUCAACCGUAAAAUUGCUAUUGAUACUGGCAGCCUUGAGUACAGUUGAGGUAGGCGGAAUUCGUGGUGUAGCGGUGAAAUGCUUAGAUAUCACGAAGAACUCCGAUUGCGAAGGCAGCUUACUAAACUGCCACUGACAUUGAUGCUCGAAAGUGUGGGUAUCAAACAGGAUUAGAUACCCGGGUAGUC
rnacentral:rRNA from 1 species